UUGUACUGGUGUGAGACGACCUUGCCCUGCCCAGGGAAAUGAAGCUGUGCUCCCAACAGUACUGAAAGGCGAGUGCUACUGCUGUGGAGUCCACAGUGGCUGCGUGGGGUGAGGCAGAGCCACCGAUGAAAGCACUGGGGCCCUGAGUCACUCUGGGAAGGUCCUAGGUGCUCUGAAGAGGUCCUAACCUGUGCAUCUCAGGGAGAAAAGAGAAAAAAAAAGCAGAGAAAGGGUACAAGUUAUACAGAUUUACAGGAUAAAGAGGAACUGGGGGAGUUUGCGACCACCAAUUCAACUCUACAGAGAGUAUUGCAGGAUAUUCUAAAAAAAAGAAAAAUACAAAGAAUCCAGAAAUAGUGGCGGGGAGGCCACAAUGAAUGGAGCAGAGAACAAAAUAAAGAAGACAAACUGACAGCUACUGACAGAAAAAGAGCUCAACAGAAAUGAGGCAGAGAAGAUUGGAUGAUAGGAACAGCUAUUUUGGAGAAAAUGACAUCUUAAUAGGUAUGACAGACUGAUAUAAAUUCUACAGUGUCCUCUUUUGUCUUAGUUCUUUGAAACCUGACAUUACCCUCUGGUCCUAUUCUUCGUCUUCGUCCUCUAAGUUUUUCUUCUCUUCCUUAUAUGGAAGGCAUGGAACUAUCACAUCUGAGCAUCAGAAUCCUGGAAGUUCUGUCCACAGCAAGAAGAUGAGAGGAAGAAAGGCAAGUCCUCCAAAUCAGAAAGAAUGAUAUACAACUGCCUGGUUUCAAAGUGAAGCUAUCUAGAGAAGGCUCUAACAAUGCUGCUAAACCUCUGCAAAAGCUAAUAAAUGAAUUCAGUAAUGUAGCAGGAUGUAAAAUCAAUGCCUAAAAUCUAUAUUGUUUCUAUAAAAUAAAUAACUAUUUGAUAAGGAAAUUUAGAAAAAUCUCACAAUGGCAGUAAAAAGAAUGAAAUGGAUACAUUUUAAUCAUUCAGAUGAAACGUACAGUAAAAUCUAUUAGGCAUUAAUGAAAGUAAUUGAAGAAAGACACAAAUGAAUAGGAAAAUACCUCAUCUUUCUAGAACUGAAGAGUUAAAAUCACUAAAGUAUCGUCACUGUUUUAACUAUGAUUCAAUAUGUGAAUUUAGCUCAAUUUAAAAAAAUCAGUGAUUUAUAGCAAGAGGAGAAAUGUUCUCAAACUCAUAUGAAACCACACACACACACACACACACACACACACACACAAAACCCUAAAUAGAAAAACAACCCUGGGAAAGAACAAAUCUGGGGUGGUAUCACACUACCUGAUCUCCAAAUAAACUACAAGUCCAUGAUAAUCAAAACUAUGUUACUGGUAUAUCAGAAGACACAUAAACCAAGACAAUGGAAUCUGGAGUCUCGAAAUGUGCUCAUAUGUCUAUGGUCAAAUAAUAUUUCACAAAGUUGUCAAGAAUACACAAUGCAGAAAUGAUGAAAUGAUAAAAUUUUGCUAUUGGCUCUAGCAGAAGUAAAAAACAGUUAUGACAAGUUUUUACUUUUAAGGAUGCCACCUCAGCAUUUUAAUCUGCUCAAAUUCAAACUUUCUUAAAAAAGGGUUAUUGAAGAUAAAAAAAAAAAUUGAAAUUAAGAAAUCCUAAUGGCUUACAUUUUUUAAAAAUAAGUCUCCAAUCUCCUAGAAAGUGUUUUCGAGAUGCGUUUCUCUCAUAUGCAAGGCCGCCUUAUUCUGUUUGAAGUUUGUGAAUUCUCAGAGGCCUUCUGUCUUCAACCUUUGCGUUCUGAUCUUCUGAAUCCCUGGAAAGUUUCUACAGAGGUCUUUGUUACACUGUCCAGGUCUACUUGAUCGUUUCCCUUGCACACACGCAAGUCCAUUUGCAGAAGUUUAAUAUUGUGGAAGAGACCUCCGUUCCCUUGACUUCAUGUUAUUAUUUUGAGGAAAUUUUCUUGAGAACAACCCCAUUGUUUCCCUGCUAUCACAGUUCCUGGAGGGUAGAAUGACUUCCUGUAACAAGGAGCAGGGUUUGAGCACGUGGACACAACCCCUGUCCGUUUGUUUUUGCUACAGACUAACCUGAAACAGCAGCACAUUGCACCUGGCUCUUUACUUGGAGAUCCUCUUGCAGCGCUCACCGAGACUCAGAUGGAGCCAAAGAAAGUGUUUCGUGUGUCUGGUGCAGUAGCAAUGCGGGUAGCGACGCUGUCCCAAGUGAGGACAUUCACUCAGCGUUUCAGUCUACAGCUAACAUUUUUAUCCAAACUGCCAUGUUUACUUAGAACUGAAAGGAAAUAGAUUGUUUUUCUUAUUGAUUCAUUUUAUUUUGGACAAUAGAAGUUGGUUUGGCUUAAGCAUCAUCCUGCUGCCCACUUUGGGUGUUACAUUUUCCUUCUGAAUUGGAUAAGAUAUUCCUUGGAUUUGAAAAUUGUUUUCCCAGUAUUUUCAUGCAUGCACUGUUUUUUUGUUUGUUUGUUUUUUUACUUCAAGUUCGUUUUUCGUACACAUUUUCUGUAUAAAACUGAUACUUACCAUAUAGUACCAGACACCAAACCUGCCUAGCUUUCAGUCUGUUUUCUAACCCUUUUUACUGACUGUACUUCAGUAGUUUUGCUUUUUGCCAGAUGGAAACAAAAAUAAUGCUACACUCCUGUUGUCUUGUUAAUUACCCAAAAUAAUAUGUAAAGGAAUUCUGACACUUUUAGACUAAUUGUUAGCAGAGCACACCAUUUCAUUUUAUCCUGACCCAUAUGCAUUCUCAGAAACACACGUAAGUAGAAUCACUAAAAAAUGUAAUUACAUGACUAUUAGGUCACAUUUGCAUAUUUCCAUAAAUUUGCAUACAAAAUAUUUGGGUAAAAGAUUUUUCCAGAAGGACUGAAGAUAGAAGAGUUUUCAAUAAUUAUCUCAAUAGUGGAAGACUGUCAUCCUAACCAUGUUUUCUUUGGUUUUAGGAAAAUAUCUCCUAUGGGAAAAAAUAAAAGCCUAUACAACUUAUUUAAUAUGUCAUUUGGUCAUCAUGUAUUCAAUAGCCAUUGCUUUAAUAUAAUGAUUUAACAGAAGUUUAGGAGGCAGGUAGUUUUAUUAACUUUAUUCUUAAAUUUCUUAUGGAAUAGAAAUAAAAAUAUGCAAAGUAAAAUCCAGUUUCAGCAGAGAAAUAUGAUUACAGCAUUACUGGUUUUUAAUAAAACUAGGAAAAAAUAAAAUAACUAGGAAACUAAAUGGCAAGAUAAUGGAGUGGAAUAAAAGAUGUUGAAAUUAUUUUGACAUUGAUAUGUGAUGUCUACAACUGAAAGUAAAGUUUCUAAAACAAUUUAUCACUAGGAUAUACAUUUUAAGUAAUCUUUUAUUAUCUAAUUGAGUAGGAAUUGAAAUAAAUCUUUUAUUUCAAUUGAGUAGGAACUUAAACCUGUGAAUUUGAAAUUUAGUAAUUUAUCUCCAUGGUAAGAGUUGUCCUCCGAAAACCAUCAUUUUAGAGCAAAAUAAUAAUAAUUUCAAUAAAGUAAGAAUAUUAUUUUGUGAGAAGUCAAGACUAAGUUGAAAAUUACAUAUAAGAAUAUUUUAGGAUGAAUAGAAAUGAAUUUUAUCUACUUGUGUUCAAAUUAAAACAUACUUAGAGAUUGGUUAACACUGAUUUAUUAACUACAGCUGUUUUGUUAUGUCAUUUUAAGUUUUUAUUUGCCUAUAUUCUGUAUUUCUAAUGACUUAAAACUUUUAUUCUCAUAUUUCUGAAACAAUAUUUUGAUGCAAUAAGCAAAGCAAUAAAUAGUUAGAUCUUACUUCAAGAAGAAAAUUUAUGAAACAAUUAACAGGCAAAAACAUGUCUUUGACAUGUCUGAAUUUUUUCAUUUAUUAUAAAUACAAAUAGUGGAGAUCCACAACUUUAUUGAGGGAAGUGGCUUGUUUACAGAACAGUAUAGCUGGAUAUUAAAUGUGUUAUUAUUUAAAAGUCUUUUGAAGUAGUUUUAUUGAUGCAUGAACCAAGUUAAGUGAUGCGAAAAUCCAACUCUGAGGUUUUAAGCAUUCAAAAUAUCAUGCGGCACCAUGAAUUUGGCCCACUUGUUGACUUGAGAUGUCAAAUAGUAUUUUCCAUUUAAGUAAAAAUAAUAGCAGAGAGUUUUGAACCAAAGCAUCAUUUUAAAUAAAUGUAGGUUUUCAUCUUAUGUAGAAAGUCUUCCUUAGGUAGAAAACUGAAGUGGACACACUGUAUGAAACAUUGAAAGGAAGAUCUAAGGCACUGUCAUUUAUCAGUGUUUCUAAUUCUGAGGUCCUUUAAAGUCUCAGGACAGUAGUUUAUUGCCAGUGAGUUUGGGAUGGUUGAGAAUUAUGACACUAGUAUUCCUUUCUCUGAGAGGUAUACCAUGUAAUGAUUAGAAACAGAUUUUUCUGUGAAAGUCAAAGACAAAACUAAAAUAAAACAGGUGUUGCCUGUUAAUAGUUUCAAACUCAUCAUCUUUUACGAGGAUUGUAGAUUUAUGAAUUCUAUAUUUAUCAAUAUUUAUCUAUAUGUAGGUUUUUAAUAAAAGGCAUGUUUUUAUAUGAACAUCAUUUUGAUAUUAUGGAAGUCAAUGCCUUGUGCUCUAAAAUAGUCUGUUUCUCUCUUUCUUUCUUUGUUCUUUCUUUCUUUCUUUCUUUCUUUCUUUCUUUCUUUCUUUCUAUUUCCUUGUUUGUUUCUUUUAUGUCCUAGGAAACUUAAAAUAUUUGCCCUGACACUCUUAAAGCUAGAAAUAGUUAUAGAAUUCAGGUUUGAUCAACAGUAUCUGAAAGAACCACUGGGAAUUUUUUUAAUUAAAAAUGAAUGAAAUGUAUCAUUCUCUUCAUUUCUUGACGUCUGUACAUAAAAUUUUGGACUCAAAGCAUUGAAUUUGUGACCAUAAGUGGAGGCAUAGUGCAUGAGGUGAUGGUGACAUAAGGGAGAGAUGAGAACUGCUAUUUUAGAUUGUUCAUUACCUUGUGACAUAAAUGUCAGAACUACCAACUGUCAUUUUCUUAUAUAGUGAGGUAAUCAACUCCUUUAAUUUUACUUUUAAAAAAGAAUACAUACAAAAUGAAUUAUAUCCUAAUCACUUUGUUUUAUUUUCUUUGAAAUAAAAAGAAAAUUAAAAAGGAAAGCCCAUUGUCACAAUUUCUGCUCAACAUAAUAGUAGACAUCCUAGCCAGAGCAUUUAGGCUAUCACAGCAAUAAUCAGAAGACAUCUACACUGAGGUAGAAAUAACACUGUCUUUGUUCACAGAUGACUGCAUCUUACAUGUUAAAAAAAAAAAAAAAAAAACCUAGACUCUACUCAUUAAAAUUGUAAUCACCAUAUAACAAUCAAUUGGAUUUCUGAUCCUUCUAAAUACUAAUAAUCAUUUUGAAUAGGACUUUGUGAAAACAUUUGCAUUUUCAAUCACAUAAAAAUCUUAGAAAUUAACUAAUAAAGCAAAAGACUUGCCUGGUUAAAUCACAAAACUUUGGGAAAAGAAACAAAGAAGAUAAAAAAGGAAAUACAUUUGCAACCAAUUUGCUGAUAAAAAAAAUUCCUUGACAAAAUUUCAGUUUUUCUUGGAGAACUAGAAAAAUCUAUUCUACAGUUCAUAUGGGAUCUUAAGCAACCUUGAAUAUUAAAAAGAAUCAUGAAAUAGGAGACAAAAGCAGUGUUAUGUAAAGACAGACACAUAGACCAAUGGAAACAAAUACUUGUGUAUAUAAUCAAGUAAUUUCUUACAAAAGCACCAUGGCUAUUUACUGGGAGUAUGCUUUUCAAUAAACUAUCCUGGAAAACUUCAAUAUACUUACACAAAAUAGUGAAGCUUUAUCCUCACAUAACUAUGUAUACAAAAAUAACUCAAAAUGGAAAUAUAUUCUAAAUAUAAGACCCUAGCACUAUGAAAAUUCUGGAAAAAAUAUAGAACAAAACUUUCACACUUGUAAAAUGAUUUAUAAGAUAGUACUUUGGUAUUUCAUAGUUUUUUUUUUCAAAAUUUCAAACUUAAAAGGACCUACCAAAAGUAUAAAAAGUAACAAGCAUGAUGGAAAAGAAUUCUGAAAUAGUUUAUCUGAUACAGUGCUAUAUCCAAAAUAUACAAUGGAUAUACAAACUCAGUGAUAAUGAAAAAUCAAACCACCCAAUUUUAAAAUGUACCUAAGGCUUUAAAUAGAGAUUUACCUAGAGAAGGUAUACAAAUGACCAAUAAAUUCAUGAAAAUUACUCAGUAUCACUAAUUAUCGUAGAAAUUUAAAUCCAAACUAUAAAAAGAUACCAUCCCACAUUCAUUAGAAUGCCUACUUUCAAAACUCCCAGAAAUAAUUAAGUGUUGGUAAGAAUUGGUAAGAGUUUUAUAAUUCAUUAUAUAUAUAUAUAUAUAUAUAUAUAUAUGUAGCAGGAUCAAAAAGUGGUAUUUGUGCCUCGUAUUCAUAACACUAUUACUUGUAAAUGGUAAAAUAUGGAAGCACUUUUGUAUUUCUGUAUAAAUAAAUGGAUAAUCAAACUAUGGCAUAUACAUGAGGAAGUAUAUUAUUCAGCUCUAAAAGGGAAUGGAAUUUUGACAGUCACAAAGAGACAAGUAGUGUAUUUUUCAAUUAAAUAACAUACUUAGAGUAAUCAAAAUUAUAGAGACAGAGGUAGAACAAAGCUUUCCAGGCCAGUGGAAGCAAAGCCUGAGGAGUUUUUGUUAAUGGGUAGACCAUUUCUAUACUACAGGAUGAAAGCAGUUCUGGAGAGAGAUGAUGGGAGAUGGUUGCACAACACUGUAAACGUAUUUAAUACCACUGAACUGUACAAUUAAAAAUGGAGGAGGUGGCAUGUUUAUGUUAUGUGUACCCACCAAAAAAUUUAGUAAAGAAUAAAAUGAAGUUGUCAUGUAUGAAACAUUAUGUAUUGAUGUUGGGAAUUUUAUGCUGUGAGAAAGAACCAGUCAUAAAACACACAUAAAACAUGACUGCAUUUAUAAAAAAUGUUACAGAGAUGUAAAUAUACAGGGAUAGAAAGGAGAAUAGCUGUUGUCUACAGUUAGAGCAUGUAUUUGAAAGCGAUGACUAAAGACACAGGGUUUUAUUUCUAUAUCAUAAAAAGUCUUAAAACUGUCAUAAUGGAGGUACAAAAUUAUAUUAACAUUCAUUAAACUGUACAGUUUAAAAUCAGUAUCAUGACAUUGAAUUAUAGUUCAAUGUGGUUAUUAUACAAAUGUAAAUAACUUGCUGAGGUUUUAAUUAGUAUUACACUGAAUCUAUGAUUAAUUCAGGCUUGGAAGAACUGACGUUUGAUAAUAUAAUUUUCCCUUCUUAUGUAUCUGGAAGUAUCUUUCCACAUUCAUAGGUCUUUGAUUUCUUUCAUUGAAAUUUUGUCCUUGUUUUGGUGUGUGCGCAUGUGUGUAUCUUAUUCAAAUUAGUCUUAUUUUUUGGAGAUUGCAAAUGAAAAUGUUGUUCUACUUUUAAUUUCAAUUUCCUCUAGUUCAUUGCUAGUAAAAUGAUAGAAUUUUAUGAACUAUUCUUAUACCCUACAACUCUGCUAAAACCUCUUACUUCUAGGAGGCUUUUUAUUGAUUAUUAUGGAUUGUCUAUAUACAGAGUUGACAUGUUGUCUGUGACAAAGAUUUUUCAUCUACAGUCAGUAUAUUUUAAUUACUUUUUAAUCUUAUUAUAAUAUUAGAACUUCUAGUACAAUGUGAAUAAGCAAUGAUGAGAAAUCACUACUUUGCUUUGCUUCUGGGUUUAAGGGAAAAACUCCCUGUUUUAAGUCUGAUGUUAGCUGUACGUGUUUAUAUAUAUUUUGUCAAGUUCAGGAAGCUUUUUUUAAUUGAAUUUUCAUCGUGAAUGAACGGUGGAGUUUUUCAAGUUAUUCUUCUCUGAUGAUAAAAUCGUGAUUUUUCUAGUUUAUUCUAUUCAUGAGAUACUAAGAAAUUUGUUUCUUGUGGUUGUAUUUUUGUUUGUCUGUUUGAUUUCACAGUUUUCAGGUUGAGUCUUGCUCAUGUUAGGCAAAUGCUCUAUCAAUGAACUGCAUCCUUCUGAUAGGCACAAUCCUUUUUAAAUACUGCAUCAUCAUGGGCUUGGGAUUUAGCUCAGUGGCUUAAGCACCUGUCUGGCAAGCGUGAAGUCAGAAGUUUGAUCCCCAGUAUAAAUAAAUAAAUAAAUAAAUAAAUAAAUAAAUAAAUAUUGCAUCAUCUCAAAUCUGAGGUAAAUCCAUCUUGAUUAUGGCAUAUAAUUCUUAUUGCACAUUUUGGGUACAGUAGUAUAAAAUUUUGUGGGUAUUUAACUUUCUAUGUUCCUUGAGAUAUAUUUCAUUAGGUUUUUAUCUUUAGGACAAUGUUGGGUUUAUAGAAUGUUAGGAAGUUUUUGAGAAUACAUUGAGAAUAGGGAGGAUUCCUUAAAUAUUUGGUAAAACUCCUCAGUGAAAUCAUCUUGACAGGUACCAUCUGUUUUGGAAAGUUACUGAUAACUGGUUAAUGUAUUUUAUAGGUAUAUACCUAUUCACAUAUUCAGUUUCUUCAUGUAGAUUUUGAUAGGUUGUAUCUGAUAGGAUUACUUCCAAAAGAUGAAAAAUAUUUCCAAAAGAUGAGAAGUAUAAAACAAAAAGUGGCCUUUAUUCUGAGAACACGGAGAGAGAUGGCCGGCACCCCCCACCGCUGGCGUCCGGCAAUCCCUCUGGUGGACACGUGGCGUGGGGGUAUGUAAGUAGCCUCGAUUUGGGGUGGAGCCUAAGGGGGGCAUUAGGGAUGCACAGGUAGCCCAUUGGUCCUAGGUUUGGCGCCAUAUGUAAAUUCCCAGGGGUGGGAAGAUGGCGUUACAGAUAAAUUCCUAGGGGCGGGGGAGAUAGAGGCUUCCUGCUUCCGGUUGAGGCUUUCCUGGCUACAGUGUCCUGUCUGGGCCAAAACCCUUUCAGUAUCAUUCAAGAAAUUGGUCCAUUAUAUUUAGGCUAUCUAAUAUGUGUGCAGGGUUGUGAAAGGUAUUCCUUGAUUUGUUUUAAUUUUCAUGAGACCUACAGUAAUUUUCCCCUCUAAUACUAGUUGUUUAUUUUUUAUUUAUUUUCUUAUUUGUGACUACAAAUUUGGCAAUUUUUCUUGAGUUUUAAAAGU